CAGGCCUAACACAUGCAAGUCGAGCGAGAAAGCACUUCGGUGUGAGUAGAGCGGCGGACGGGUGAGUAACGCGUAGGAAUUUGCCCAGUAGUGGGGGACAACAUGUGGAAACGCAUGCUAAUACCGCAUACGCCCUAUGGGGGAAAGCAGGGGAUCUUCGGACCUUGCGCUAUUGGAGAAGCCUGCGUCGGAUUAGCUAGUUGGUGGGGUAAAGGCCCACCAAGGCGACGAUCCGUAGCUGGUCUGAGAGGAUGAUCAGCCACACUGGGACUGAGACACGGCCCUGACUCCUACGGGAGGCAGCAGUGGGGAAUAUUGGACAAUGGGCGAAAGCCUGAUCCAGCCAUGCCGCGUGUGUGAAGAAGGCCUUAGGGUUGUAAAGCACUUUCAGUAGGGAGGAAAAGCUAAUAGUUAAUAACUAUUAGCCCUGACGUUACCUACAGAAGAAGCACCGGCAAACUCCGUGCCAGCAGCCGCGGUAAUACGGAGGGUGCGAGCGUUAAUCGGAAUUACUGGGCGUAAAGCGCGCGUAGGCGGCCUGAUAAGUUGGAUGUGAAAGCCCCGGGCUCAACCUGGGAACUGCAUUCAAAACUGUCAGGCUAGAGUAUGGUAGAGGAUAGUGGAAUUUCCGGUGUAGCGGUGAAAUGCGUAGAGAUCGGAAGGAACAUCAGUGGCGAAGGCGGCUAUCUGGACCAAUACUGACGCUGAGGUGCGAAAGCGUGGGGAGCAAACAGGAUUAGAUACCCCUGGUAGUCCACGCCGUAAACGAUGUCAACUAGCCGUUGGGGGGCUUGUCCCCUUUAGUGUGCAGCUAACGCGAUAAGUU
rnacentral:rRNA from 1 species